rnacentral:rRNA from 1 species
AGAGUUUGAUCCUGGCGUCAGGAUGAACGACUGCGGCGUGCUUAACACAUGCAAGUCGACGAAGCGGUACAGGGAGUUCCCUCGGGAGGACGGUAAUUGUCUGAGUGGCGGACGGGUGAGUAACGCGUGGGCAACCUGCCCAUACCGGGGAUAACAGCGAACGGCUGCUAUACCGCAUACGCCAGGAGGCUGCAUAGCUUCUGGGGAAACUCCGGUGGUAUGGGAUGGGCCCGCGUCUGAUUAGCUCGUUGGCGGGUAACGGCCCACCAAGGCGACGAUCAGUAGCCGGCCUGAGAGGGCGGCCGGCCACAUUGGGACUGAGACACGGCCCAGACUCCUGCGGGAGGCAGCAGUGGGGAAUAUUGCACAAUGGGGGAAACCCUGAUGCAGCGACGCCGCGUGAGCGAUGAAGUAUCUCGGUAUGUAAAGCUCUAUCAGCAGGGAAGAAAGUGACAGUACCUGACUAAGAAGCCCCAGCUAACUACGUG